rnacentral:SRP_RNA from 1 species
GCCAGGCGUGGUGGCGCAUGCCUGUAGUCCCAGCUACUCUGGAGGCUGAGGCAGGAGAAUCGCUUGAACCGAGGAGGCGGAGGUUGCAGUGAGCCAAGAUUGUGCCACUGCACUCCAGCCUGGGCAACAGAGCGAGACUCUGUCUCAA